ensembl:lncRNA
GGUGGGGGGAAUGGGUAUUUGUUCUAGAAGACCCCCCAAAUGACUUAACUUCCUUCAUAACUAUGCCACAUCCAGUCUGGACCUUGCUGCCAGUGGAGUGGGAUCCCCAUGACUUUCUUAGGACUUGAAAUGGAGAACGUGGCCACCUAGGGAAAGAGCUGUAACAGUCAGGUUGUUGAGCCACAGAACUUGCUGCUUCUGAGUAGUCUGUUGUGACAUGUGUGUGCUCAGCUGCUUCUGACUCUUUGUGACCCCACGGACUUCAGCCCAUCAGGCUCCUCUGUCCAUGGGAUUCGCCAGGCAAGAGUACUGGUCACCAUUUCCCUCUCCAGGGGAUCUUCCCGACCCAGGGAUCGAACCAGCCAUCUCCUGUGUCUCCUGCAUUAUGAGGAAACUGAGGCUCUGAGAAGUUAAAUAAUUUGCCUAAGGGCCCAGCAUGGGUUAUGGCGCCAGGAUUCGACCCCAAAGUCAGUGACUCGGCACUAAAACAUCUACUGCUGUCAAAAUCCAUGGUGGAGCCAGCGCUCUGGUCUCUGGGAGUGAGGGAGGGGCCUGGAGCUCUCGGACCCAGGCAAGGGAUAGAUGAUCUGGUCUACAGAAGCGGUCUGAUGAAACCAAUGGACGGAAAGUGGGGCAAACUAUUCAGAGACCCAGCACAUCCUGCGCCCUUAGAGACAACGUGAGGCCCUGUCAACUGAAGGAAGAAAAGGUGAGGGAGCUGAUGAACAAACAAGGAAUUUGUUCGAAGAUGCACAGUAGGAAGUUGGUGGAGCUGGGGAUUUACCAUUGCUGUUAUUAUUUACACUAUGUAAGAG